rnacentral:lncRNA from 1 species
UGUAAUUAUAAGUAUUCAAGAAAAAUAUUAAAUAAUUUUCUUCUGCAUAUAUCAGCCAUCUUUCAAAACACUAAUAGCAUUAAAUAUUUAGAAACCUGUCGGUGCAAUAUUUGCCAAGUUAUCUUAAGUUAUAACUUUAAAUUUAUACUUUGACUUACUCCAAGAGUUUACUUGUUCCCAUUGCACAUUCUUCCUUGAUGUUCUAACAUGGCGUCAAAGUCAGGCAUGACCAUCGAUGGAAGCAUUUUCUAGCUCUGAGUGUUAGAAUCAGCUCUGAGAAUUAAAGGGAGGCAGAGGUUCCUAGGAUUGCAUUUCCUUCUUGUGCCCCUGACCCAUCCUCCAGGCUGAUUCAUGCCUUUAGAUUGGCUCUAGAGUCUUAAAAACUCAACACAAGAUGUGGUUAACCCACUGUUGUGGACCGAAUGUUCAUGUCCCUCCAAAAUUCAUAUGUUGAAGGCCUAUGAAGAUAGGGCCCUUGGGAGGUAUUUGGGUCUAGAUGAAGUCAUGAGGGUGGGAUCAUCACGAUGGGAAGAGUGCCCUAAUAAGGAGAUAUUAGACAACUUUCUCUCUCUCUUUCUCUCUCCCUCAUGUGAGCGAGAAGGAAGCUAUCCACAACCCAGGAAGAGAGCUCUCACCAAGAACCGAAUCUGCUAGCACUUUGGACUUCCCAGCCUUCAGAACGCAGUUGCUGGCAGUGCCCAUAAAUGGUGGUAAAAUCGUGGAAGCUCUUCUCAGGGGCUGGGAUGUAUUCAGGUGCCAUCAACCUUCUCAUCUCCAGCAGACCAGUCACCUAAAACUUGGAGACACAUAACCAUCUCAUAUACAAAGUGAUUUAAACUAGUUGGUGUCCCAGAGGCCAGAGAUGAUGUUUGUCUGCUUUACUGCUACACCUCUAGAGCCUAAGAUUCAAACUGAUAUAGUCACCAAUUAAUACAUAUUGACUACACGGAUGAAAAAGAGCGCGUGAGGAGAGGCCGCAC